CCUACGGGGGGCAGCAGUGGGGAAUAUUGGACAAUGGGGGGAACCCUGAUCCAGCCAUGCCGCGUGUGUGAAGAAGGCCCUCGGGUUGUAAAGCACUUUCAGUGAGGAAGAACGCCUGGUGGUUAAUACCCAUCAGGAAAGACAUCACUCACAGAAGAAGCACCGGCUAACUCCGUGCCAGCAGCCGCGGUAAUACGGAGGGUGCGAGCGUUAAUCGGAAUUACUGGGCGUAAAGCGCGCGUAGGUGGCUUGAUAAGCCGGUUGUGAAAGCCCCGGGCUCAACCUGGGAACGGCAUCCGGAACUGUCAAGCUAGAGUGCAGGAGAGGAAGGUAGAAUUCCCGGUGUAGCGGUGAAAUGCGUAGAGAUCGGGAGGAAUACCAGUGGCGAAGGCGGCCUUCUGGACUGACACUGACACUGAGGUGCGAAAGCGUGGGUAGCAAACAGGAUUAGAUACCCCUGAGUC
rnacentral:rRNA from 1 species